rnacentral:rRNA from 1 species
AUUGAACGCUGGCGGCAGGCCUAACACAUGCAAGUCGAGCGAGCGGCGGACGGGUGAGUAAUGUAUGGGGACUGCCCGAUAGAGGGGGAUAACUACUGGAAACGGUGGCUAAUACCGCAUACUAUCGGAUAACCCAUAUGGGUUUAGCUAGUGGGUGGGGUAAAGGCUCACCUAGGCGACGAUCCCUAGCUGGUCUGAGAGGAUGAUCAGCCACACUGGGACUGAGACACGGCCCAGACUCCUACGGAGGCAGCAGUGGGGAAUAUUGCACAAUGGGCGAAAGCCUGAUCCAGCCAUGCCGCGUGUAUGAAGAAGGCCUUAGGGUUGUAAAGUACUUUCGGCAGGGAGGCGUUACCUGCAGAGGAAGCCCCGGCUAACUCCGUGCCAGCAGCCGCGGUAAUAC